AUUGGCUUCAACUUGGAAAGUAGGGAUAAGUGUUUCCCCGGGCGAGGGCCAAAAAGGAAAAUAAAAAAUGCCUUUUGCAUCACGAGAUCUCAAAAAUAAUCGAGCACCCAGAGCAUAGCGAAGCAAAGCUAUUUUGGGCGGACUAACCCCGCCGUGUAAAUGGUGGGGCUAAGACUUCCAUGGAACGAUAAGUUACAAUCUUUGCGUAUUCAGAGGACAUAGUUUUACCAUAAAAACAAGGGGAUUCUCAGUAAUUCAGGGGGGAUUAGCUCUCUGAAAUAAAUAUACAAAAUUAAAGAAAAUGUUAAGCCGUAACAAGCUAAAAAAAAAAAUCUUUAUAGAGUUUAAGUCCGCUACAACAACAAACUAUUCUGAGUUUACAAGUAAAUAAUGCGGUACGACAAAACCUGGUCAAGGUAAAAUUAAUGAAUAAAGUAAAAUAUUUAAAUCAGUGCUUGCCCCAAGAGGGCCUGUUUAACAAAAACACCGGGGGAAAGCUCCUAGUUUCUGCCCAGUGACACGCGUUUAACGGCCGGACAAGGUAGCAUAAUAAUUAGUGGCUUAAUUGACCACAUGUAUGAACGAAAGGACCCUCUUUCGAAACUGAUAUAGAGAAAAUGAAACUAGCCCAAAAUGCAAAUUUUUUGGUGACUUCCCCAGACGAUAAGACCCUAAAACCUAAUAAAAAUUAAAUCGCACACAGGAAAUUAGUUGGGGGAACUAGCAAAUUUACAAUACUGGGAAAGGCUAAACUGAGAACAAUUUCUUUAUUUGGAAAAAAGGUACUUUAGGGAUAACAGCAAUAUAAGUCAUAGAGUCCGUAUCUAUUGAGCUUUAAUUGACCUCGAUGUUGAAUUAAGAAAAUACUCGGAGCACAAGCUGGGAGAAAAGGUCUGUUCGACCAAAUAGUUCUUACAUGAUUUGAGUUCAGAUCGACGUGAGUCAGAUUGGAUUCUAUCUGGGAAAAAUUAUUGGGGGAAACAGUACGAAAGGAAAUUCUCUUACUU
rnacentral:rRNA from 1 species